AGUAAUGCUUGGGAAUCUGGCUUAUGGAGGGGGAUAACGACGGGAAACUGUCGCUAAUACCGCGUAUUAUCGGAAGAUGAAAGUGCGGGACUGAGAGGCCGCAUGCCAUAGGAUGAGCCCAAGUGGGAUUAGGUAGUUGGUGGGGUAAAGGCCUACCAAGCCUGCGAUCUCUAGCUGGUCUGAGAGGAUGACCAGCCACACUGGAACUGAGACACGGUCCAG
rnacentral:rRNA from 1 species